rnacentral:lncRNA from 1 species
AAAAACCUAGACAUGUCCCCUGUCUGGCUCCCACCUGCACACAAAGCCAGACAACAUGGGCCUGGGACCAAGGACCCUGGUCAGAGCAGCCAUAGCCUGUAGGCUGCCUGUGCACAGGCUGUUCCUGGUCCACACGAUGCAGUUCCACUGGAUUGGGAUCUGAAAAAGCCCUAAGACUCUUGACUUCUUGAAAAGAAGCCCCAGACUUCUUGAGGGCCCCUGGGUCGCGGUGCCUGCCAGGUGUCCUUUGGCUGUCAUAGGCCUGUUAACCCAUUAUAGAGAAAGCUUCAAAGCCCUGUGUGGCUUAGCUAUGUUUGGGGCCUGGGGGAAAGGGAAGGCCUGAGCUGUGGGUCUUAACUUAGUGUUCAAAAGCAGACUCGGAGGUCAGGCAGGGGCAUAUUAGUCAGGCUGUACCUGCUUUCUUUGACCUUCUCUGGCAAGCAGACUGCAUCAAAGCGAGGGUUCUGGCCUCUGAAUCUGGAGUAAAGGUCAGGGAAAACGGUCAGGCUUCUAUGACCCUAUAACCCAAGCUGGGUCUAAUCUAAAGACUGCAGAAGAGGAAUCAUGGGAGGCCCUGUUCUUGAUUCUGGCUACUCGGAGAGUGAUAAGGAAAAGUCGUGGGUAGCAGGAAAGACAUCAUGGCCCUGUUGACCGCCCUUUGGCACCAGCCUGGUUUCUUCAGAGAGCAUGGGAAUCUCGUGAGCCUAACACUUGCCCAUUUUGAACUCUUACUGAUUGGAGUCUGGCACAUAGAGUAUGGAAGUGCACAGCCAUAGAUGCUGCAGCCCACCUAUCUCAGCGUGUCUGGGAUUUUUUUAGACCUUCAUGACCUGGCUGAGUGUGUGUGUGAGUGUGCGUGUGUGUCUAUGUCCAUGCAUGUGUGUAAUGUAGUUGUAGUUGCCAACACUGUGUAUAUAAUGACUGAUGUAUUUAUAUGUGAGUACAGAAUUGGCACCUGUGGCAGUUUUCUGUAUUUUGAACUUGUUGGAUCCAAUUAGUUUUCCUUCCAGGGUAUUGGAGGGACUAUUCCAAAGUCAUUCUUUAGAACUGACUUUUAGUGGAUGAUGCCCUUUUCAAAUAAAUGUUAAUGUUGUCACCAUA